UACGUAGGUGGCAAGCGUUGUCCGGAUUUACUGGGCGUAAAGGAUGCGUAGGCGGACAUUUUAAGUCAGAUGUGAAAUACCCGAGCUUAACUUGGGUGCUGCAUUUGAAACUGGGUGUCUAGAGUGCAGGAGAGGUAAGUGGAAUUCCUAGUGUAGCGGUGAAAUGCGUAGAGAUUAGGAAGAACACCAGUGGCGAAGGC
rnacentral:rRNA from 1 species